GACGGGGGCCCGCACAAGCGGCGGAGCAUGUGGAUUAAUUCGAUGCAACGCGAAGAACCUUACCUGGGUUUGACAUACACCGGAAAACCGUAGAGAUACGGUCCCCCUUGUGGUCGGUGUACAGGUGGUGCAUGGCUGUCGUCAGCUCGUGUCGUGAGAUGUUGGGUUAAGUCCCGCAACGAGCGCAACCCUUGUCUUAUGUUGCCAGCACGUGAUGGUGGGGACUCGUAAGAGACUGCCGGGGUCAACUCGGAGGAAGGUGGGGACGACGUCAAGUCAUCAUGCCCCUUAUGUCCAGGGCUUCACACAUGCUACAAUGGCCAGUACAGAGGGCUGCGAGACCGUGAGGUGGAGCGAAUCCCUUAAAGCUGGUCUCAGUUCGGAUCGGGGUCUGCAACUCGACCCCGUGAAGUCGGAGUCGCUAGUAAUCGCAGAUCAGCAACGCUGCGGUGAAUACGUUCCCGGGCCUUGUACACACCGCCCGUCACGUCAUGAAAGUCGGUAACACCCGAAGCCGGUGGCCUAACCCCUUGUGGGAGGGAGCCGUCGAAGGUGGGAUCGGCGAUUGGGACGAAGUCGUAACAAGGUAACC
rnacentral:rRNA from 1 species